GAUGAACGCUAGCGGGAGGCCUAACACAUGCAAGCCGAGCGGUAGAGUUUCUUCGGAAACUUGAGAGCGGCGCACGGGUGCGUAACACGUGUGCAACCUACCUUUAUCUGGGGGAUAGCCUUUCGAAAGGAAGAUUAAUACCCCAUAAUAUAAUGAUUGGCAUCAAUUAUUAUUGAAAACUCCGGUGGAUAGAGAUGGGCACGCGCAAGAUUAGAUAGUUGGUGAGGUAACGGCUCACCAAGUCAAUGAUCUUUAGGGGUCCUGAGAGGGAGAUCCCCUACACUGGUACUGAGACACGGACCAGACUCCUACGGGAGGCAGCAGUGAGGAAUAUUGGACAAUGGGUGAGAGCCUGAUCCAGCCAUCCCGCGUGAAGGAUGACGGUCCUAUGGAUUGUAAACUUCUUUUGUACAGGGAUAAACCUACCCUCGUGAGGGUAGCUGAAGGUACUGUACGAAUAAGCACCGGCUAACUCCGUG
rnacentral:rRNA from 1 species